GCCGUAUUCACUUUGAUACGGUUGAACCCAUGUAAACAAUACUCUUUGUGUGUAAAAUUUUGGGAUAUUUUCUGUGUUUGAAGAGACGGCAGUUCAGAUGCAGUCGUCCUGUGUGUCAGAAAGCUGGUGAUCAAAAUGGUUGAAGGCAGUACCCAAGAAAGUACAUUUACAAAAUUGUGAGGAGUAACCUAGCCUAUAUUACCUGAAGCUCACCCAAUAUGCAGUGUUUUCUGCUCCGUAAAUAGCAA